CUCCUCCAUCCUCCUCCUCCUGUCCCCACCAAGCCUCUCCCUUGCAGUCCCCAUGUCCCUACACUUGAAUUCCUUUCCCCUCCCCUGCAUCCCACACAGGGCCCCUUCAACACCCCAAUCCCAGUCCCAUGGGCUCCCCAGUUCCCCCCAGUUCAGCAUCUUUGGGUCCCCUCCUACUCCCCCCACCCUCCCUGCAGGCCCUGAAUUCCCCUGGCUCUCCUUGUCUCCAUCCCCACCCUGGGCCCUGCAGGCACAGGGGUUGGAGGUGAAACUGGGUGCAGUGGGAGCAGGGGGAGCAGAAGGGAUUUUCCCCCUCAGACGGGGGCAGCCCUGGGCUGGGGGGGCUGGGGACACCCGUGUCCCUCCCCCAGCCCCACAGGGGCCAAUCCUGCUUAACCCUUUGCUCUCCUUGCCCAGGCACUCUUGGCAGGAACCCAAAAUGAACUGCGGGAGGUGAGUGGGCCGGGGGGACUGGAGGGCAUCCAGUCUGGGAACUGGGGGACACUUUGGUCCCCCCAUCCCUCGCUGGCACCGGGGACAUCCCAGUGACCAGCCAGGGCUCCUGGUCUCUCUCCAGCUGCAUUUAGUGGACGUUGGGAUCCUGAAGACGGCUCAGCCCCCUGUGGUUGAGAAGGUGCUGGGUCUUGUUGGUGAGAAACGCGUGGCUGCAUCCCUGGAUGGCUGAGGACUGGUGGUGACACCCGUGCCCUGUCCCCCUCCAGUGGCAUGAGGAGAUGAUCAUCCCUGGAAGAACCCCCUGAUUUCCCUCAGAGCCCAGGGCCAUUUCCCCUGUAUGAUCAAUAAAUCCCUUCA